rnacentral:rRNA from 1 species
GAGGAAGUAAAAGUCGUAACAAGGUUUCCGUAGGUAGAGGUUUUGCCUACUAGAGCAGCUUAUGGCUGCUAGUCUCCCCCGGAGGCGACAUGCUCAACAUGCGGAAAAACCCCCCAGCGGGGGGAAACCCGCAGCCCACCUUCCCUUCCCGGAGGUCGGUUCAGAGACUCGAUGAGCAUGGGUACAGCGCAUUACAGGCUGUGCUUGAGAUAGAGCCCGUCUCCGCAGGCAAUUGCGGAGAGCAAACGGAACCUGCGGAAGGAUCAUUAAUG